rnacentral:rRNA from 1 species
GACGAACGCUGGCGGCGUGCUUAACACAUGCAAGUCGAACGGAAAGGCCCUGCUUUUGUGGGGUGCUCGAGUGGCGAACGGGUGAGUAACACGUGAGUAACCUGCCAUUGACUUUGGGAUAACUUCAGGAAACUGGGGCUAAUACCGGAUAGGAGCUCCUGCUGCAUGGUGGGGGUUGGAAAGUUUCGGCGGUUGGGGAUGGACUCGCGGCUUAUCAGCUUGUUGGUGGGGUAGUGGCUUACCAAGGCUUUGACGGGUAGCCGGCCUGAGAGGGUGACCGGCCACAUUGGGACGGAGAUGCGGCCCAGACUCCUACGGGAGGCAGCAGUGGGGAAUAUUGCACAAUGGGCUGAAGCCUGAUGCAGCAACGCCGCGUGCGGGAUGACGGCCUUCGGGUUGUAAACCGCUUUCGCCUGUGACGAAGCGUGAGUGACGGUAAUGGGUAAAGAAGCACCGGCUAACUACGUG